GACAGAGGUGCCAAGCGUUAGGCGGAAUCACUGGGCUUAAAGCGUGUGUAGGCGGAUCGUUAAGUACCUUGUGAAAUCCCACGGCUCAACCGUGGAACUGCUGGGUAUACUGGCGGUCUUGAGCCACCUAGGGGCAACUGGAACAAGCGGUGGAGCGGUGAAAUGCGUAGAUAUCAUCUGGAACGCCAAUGGUGCAGACAAGCUGCUGGGGGUGUACUGACGCUGAGGCACGAAAGCCAGGGGAGCAAACGGG
rnacentral:rRNA from 1 species